GUUUGCUAGGCAUAACAGAGUGGGAAGUGUGGUGCAUACAUAAAAGGUACAGAGGUACAAAGGUACAGAGGAGAAAGAAAUGUGCAUUCCGAAAUGGAAGGAAGUUCAUCAUGGUGGAGAUGAGUUGAGAGAAUGAAGGACUAUAAAUGAGUGGUUCUUAAUCAAGGCAGACUUUGGCCCCAGGGAACAUUUGUCAAUUUCUGGCAACACUUUUGGUGUCACAAGUGGCAGAGGGGGCUGCUAUUAGCUUGUAGUGGGUAGAGGUCAGGGAAGCUGCUAAACAUCCGCCAGUGCACAGGACAGCCUCCACAACAAAGACCAGCUCUCAAGGGUCUGUAGCCAUUUACCAUGCAGCAUAAUAUGCUCAUAGGCCUCAAGGAUUAAGAUGUGGACAUCUUUCAGGAGCAUUCUUCCUACCAGAGAAACCUACAGGUGGAGAAAUUGAAGCUUGGCAUCCCAGUGUCCCAUUCAAGACGUUCCAAGCAGUAGAUGGAAAUGCAGCACGUGAGGACAUAGUGUUCCUUUUCUCUGAAGGAUGCAGCAAGAAAGCGCCAUCUUGGAAAGGGAGACGAAGCUCUUACCAGACACCAAACCUGCUGGCACCGUGAUCUUGGACCUCCCAGCCUCCAGAACCAUGAGAAAUAAAUUUAUGUUGUAUGUAAAUUAUCCAGUCUGUGGUAUUUUGUGACAGCAGCACAAAUAAACUAAGACAGAUGGAAAGCAGAUAUAGGUGAUGCAGCAUUCAGCCAUCUGCUGCUUUGUGAGAUGCAAAGUCACUCACCCAAGUGGCCUCUCCCUUGAAAACCUGUACAGAACACAGGUAUUCCAGAGUAGAAUGAGGAAUAGAUAAGGACAUUUCCAAUGGUUCCUGCUCAUCUUUUGCCUUU
rnacentral:lncRNA from 10 species